rnacentral:rRNA from 1 species
UAAGACGAACCGUGCGAACGUUGUUCGGAUUCACUGGGCUUAAAGGGCGCGUAGGCGGGCAUUCAAGUCGGGGGUGAAAUCCCACGGCCCAACCGUGGAAGUGCCCCCGAUACUGGGUGUCUGGAGGGAGGUAGGGGUGUGUGGAACUUCCGGUGGAGCGGUGAAAUGCGUAGAUAUCGGAAGGAACGCCGGUGGCGAAAGCGACGCACUGGACCUCUUCUGACGCUGAGGCGCGAAAGCCAGGGGAGCAAACGGGAUUAGAUACCCCGGUAGUCCUGGCCCUAAACGAUGGGUACUAGGUAGUGGCCCGGCAUGGGGUCACUGCCGAAGCGAAAGUGCUAAGUACCCCGCCUGGGGAGUAUGGUCGCAAGGCUG